rnacentral:misc_RNA from 1 species
GAUAAGAACGCAGCGAAAUGCGAUAAGUAAUGUGAAUUGCAGAAUUCAGUGAAUCAUCGAAUCUUUGAACGCACAUUGCGCCCGCCAGUAUUCUGGCGGGCAUGCCUGUUCGAGCGUCAUUACAACCCUCAGGCCCCCGGGCCUGGCGUUGGGGAUCGGCGGAAGCCCCCUGCGGGCACAACGCCGUCCCCCAAAUACAGUGGCGGUCCCGCCGCAGCUUCCAUUGCGUAGUAGCUAACACCUCGCAACUGGAGAGCGGCGCGGCCACGCCGUAAAACACCCAACUUCUGAAUGUUGACCUCGAAUCAGGUAGGAAUACCCGCUGAACUUAAGCAUAUCAAUAAGCGGAGGA